rnacentral:rRNA from 1 species
GACGAACGCUGGCGGCGUGCUUAACACAUGCAAGUCGAACGGAAAGGCCCUGCUUUUGUGGGGUGCUCGAGUGGCGAACGGGUGAGUAACACGUGAGUAACCUGCCCUUGACUUUGGGAUAACUUCAGGAAACUGGGGCUAAUACCGGAGAGGAGCUCCUGCUGCAUGGGGGGGGUUGGAAAGUUUCGGCGGUGGGGGAUGGACUCGCGGGUUAUCAGCUUGUUGGUGGGGUAGUGGCUUACCAAGGCUUUGACGGGUAGCCGGCCUGAGAGGGUGACCGGCCACAUUGGGACUGCGGUACGGCCCAGACUCCUACGGGCGGCAGCAGUGGGGAAUAUUGCGCAAUGGCCGGAAGCCUGAUGCAGCAGCGCCGCGUGCGUGAUGCCGGCCUUCGGGUUGUAAACCGCUUUCGCCUGUGACGAAGCGUGAGUGACGGUAAUGGGUAAAGAAGCACCGGCUAACUACGUG